ACUCUCCUGCCUGCGGACCGGCCCAAGUCGUAUCCUGAAAUGUUACUGGGACUGUCCCUUCCUACAUCAAUAACUCCUGUAGAAGAAGGCAACAAAAGUUUUAUUUUUACUUGAAGGUUCCAUUUUUAAAAGGUUGUUCUUGUAAGCUGCUAAGAUCUGAGCUGCGCGUUUCCCCGCGGUAGCUCGCCAGCGUGGGCUGAGGACGGGGCGCGAAAUGGCCUGCGUGGGCCUCCUUCGCUGCUCUCAUGCUACACGGACCCGCCCUGCGUGGGCACUCCCUGCGUGCAAGGGCCUGCCCGCGUGGACGUGCCCUGCGUUCACCCAACCUUCAGGGAUCUGCCCUUGAACGGGCCCUUCGGACGUGGACACUCGUAUACGCCCACCCUGCGUGGGAUUUCGCUGCGUGGACCCAUCCCACGGAGCCUCUUCUCGCGCGACCUCCCUUCUGGACCUCUGGGAAGCAACCCUGGUGGAAAGAAGAAAAACUUGAGCCAGCCUGGGAAGGACCUUACCUUGUGCUGCUAACCAGCAAGAGUGCUGUUCAUACAGCAAAAAAAGGAGGGACUCAUCACACCCGAGUCAAGAAAGUGCCACCCCCUCCAGAGUCAUGGGCCAUAGUCCCAGGGGAAAACCCUACCAAACUAAAGGUAAGAAAAAUUUAAUUCUUUUAAUCUGUUCUAUUAUUCUUUCUUCUUUCCUCAUUCUAUUGCUGACCAUCUAGUUAUUAAUAUAACCAAGUCAAUUUCACCUCAAACUAUUGCAUUUAAUGCUUACCUUGUUAUACCCUGUGAGGACUUGCCAAUUCAAAGACAGCUUUCUACUUCAGAAAAGUACUUCUGUCCCUCCUGACUCUCCUCAGACUAGGCAUUAGUAAACUAGGACCAUUUAAUCUGGGGAGAUUUCGAUAAAGACCCCAGUACCAACCAGGAGUGUUGCCCCCUGAUGUAGAGCUUUCAUGCCAACAUUCUGUGGACCACUAAAGAGCAAGGAUGGACUGCCCCAACCGGUUUUUGUAAUUUCCCUAAAACUAUACAUUCAUUUUACUAGAGGAUCAUAGAAGUUAAAGACUUAAAACACACUUUAGCAAUUAAGACAGGAUACCAAGAUGCAAAUACCUGGUUAAAAUGGAUCAAAUAUUCCAUCUGUACAUUAAACAAAAGCAAUUGUUAUGCUUGUGCACAUGGCAGGCCAGAGGCCCAGAUUGUCCCCUUUCCACUAAGGUGGUCCUCCAGUCGACCAGGUGUGGGCUGCAUGGUAGCUCUUUUCCAGGAUUCUACAGCCUGGAGUAAUAAGUCAUGCCCAGCUCACUCUCUGCUAUAUCCCAAAGUCCCGCACCCUGCAGUUCAGCCCCCGAAGGCCAUCCAGCUUCCAUCUCCCAACACUAAGUUCACUUCGUGUCUCUCAUGACAGGGAGGAAACUUAGCAUUCCUUGGAGACUUGAAAGGAUGCAGUGAGCUUAAGAAUUUUCAAGAGCUUAUCAGUCAGUCAGCCCUUGUUCAUCCCUGAGCGGAUGUGUGGUGGUAUUGUGGUGGACCUUUACUAGGCACUCUGCUGAAUAACUGAAGUGGCACUCGUACUUUAGUCCAGUUGGCUAUCCCUUUCAUCCUGGCAUUUAAUCAACCAGAAGGAAAAAUAAUAAUAAGACACCAUAAAGACCCUUAUGGGUCUUCCAACUCUCAUGUUUAUUUAGACGCAACUGGAGUCCCACGAGGAAUACCAGAUCAAUUUGAAGCUUGAAAUAAAAUAGCUGCAGGAUUUGAGUCAAUAUUUUAGUAGGUGACAGUUAAUAAAAAUGUAGAUUAGAUAAACUACGUCUAUUUACAACCAACAGCAACGAGCUUUUCAUGAAUUAAAAGAAAAACUCAGGUCGGCCCCAUACCUGAGGCUACCUGACCUGACAAAACUCUUUAACUCUAUGUGUCAAAAAAAAAAAAAAAAAAAAAAA
ensembl:lncRNA